GUGGGGAAUAUUGCACAAUGGGCGAAAGCCUGAUGCAGCAACGCCGCGUGAGGGACGACGGCCUUCGGGUUGUAAACCUCUUUUAGUAGGGAAGAAGCGAAAGUGACGGUACCUGCAGAAAAAGCACCGGCUAACUACGUGCCAGCAGCCGCGGUAAUACGUAGGGUGCAAGCGUUAUCCGGAAUUAUUGGGCGUAAAGAGCUCGUAGGCGGUCUGUCGCGUCUGCUGUGAAAACUGGAGGCUCAACCUCCAGCCUGCAGUGGGUACGGGCAGACUAGAGUGCGGUAGGGGAGAUUGGAAUUCCUGGUGUAGCGGUGGAAUGCGCAGAUAUCAGGAGGAACACCGAUGGCGAAGGCAGAUCUCUGGGCCGUAACUGACGCUGAGGAGCGAAAGCGUGGGGAGCGAACAGGAUUAGAGACCCCGGUAGUCC
rnacentral:rRNA from 1 species